GAGCUGGGUGUAGAACGUCGUGAGACAGUUCGGUCCCUAUCUGCCGUGGGCGUUGGAAGAUUGAAGGGGGCUGCUCCUAGUACGAGAGGACCGGAGUGGACGAACCUCUGGUGUUCGGGUUGUGUCGCCAGACGCAUUGCCCGGUAGCUAAGUUGGGAAUUGAUAAGCGCUGAAAGCAUCUAAGCGCGAAGCGAGCCCUGAGAUGAGUCUUCCCUGACGGUUUAACCGUCCUAAAGGGUUGUUCGAGACUAGAACGUUGAUAGGCAGGGUGUGUAAGCGUUGUGAGGCGUUGAGCUAACCUGUACUAAUUGCCCGUGAGGCUUAACCAUACAACACCCAAGGGGUUUUGUA
rnacentral:rRNA from 2 species